rnacentral:lncRNA from 1 species
GAAACUAACACAACUUUGUAAAUCAACUAUGCUUCAAUAAAAUUUAAAAAAUAAAGUUCAAUCGUUAUUGCAAUUAGAUAAAUACCAAUAGAAUGAUGUAAAGGGGCUGGAGAACAAUCUACCUCCUCCUCCAAUUUUCUCCCCCACCAACUAGUCUUUUUACAUUGACAAUUUAGCUCAGAUUCAAUCUCUGGCCCAGGAAUUCCAUAUGUCAUUGGUGCAGCCAUAAAAAUAAAAGUAAAAAAUAUAAAUGAAAACAAAUAGUGGUGUCAGAAGUGAAUUUUGUUUUACUCUGGAUUUUCUUCCCCACUCACCUCUUACUCUCAGCUGCUUUUUCCAGUGUCACUGAUACUUCCCCCAGAGCCCACAAAAAUAUCUUCCUCUUAACUCCACUCUCCUGUUGAGCUACUAAGCCAUUAGAGCUCCUGGGUUUAUCUUUUGUUUCCGAGAAGCCCUCACUGAUACAUGUGAGAGGGAGUGCUUAAGUGGAUUGGACUAGGAAAGCCCCUGGGCUGGGCUGCUGAGUCUGUUCCUGGAGGAGGAACAGGUUCUCCUUGGCCCCCAGAAGCUCCUGAGCACCUCCUCUGGGUCAUAGCUUCCUCAACUGUAAAGUAGUGGGAUUUUCCUGGGUCACACAGAGCCAGACCAGCUCUAAAGCUCUGCAACUUAGUAAGUCUUAUCAAUCCAAGUCACUCCUUCAUUUACACAGCCAGGGAGCCCCUGUGUGACCCAGGCCUGGUGCCAUCUGCACUUAGUCUCAUAGCCCAGUUCAGAUUGGGCAGCAAGGUCAUUGGGUGGGACCAGCAGGAUCUGUCCUGAUGCGAGCACUGUUUCCCAGCCUUGAGUGUUCAAGGUCAAUUUAACAUGCAAGAAAAUUUGGAGGCAAGUUCCACUUGUGGCUCAGUGGGUUAAGAACCCAACAGAGUGUCUGUGAGGAUGCAGGUUAAAUCCUUGGCCUCACUCAAUGGGUUAGGGAUCUGGCUUUGCCACAAGCGGAGGUGUAGGUCACAGAUGCUGUUUGGAUCCCACAUUGCUAUGGCUGUGGUGUAGGCCUGCAGGUGCAGCUCUGAUUCCACCCCUAAGCCUGGGAAUUUCCAUAUGCCACAGAUGCUGCAGCCUUAAAAAGAAAAGAAAGAAAGAAAUGUUGGAGGAACAUCCUUUUUUUUUUUUUUGUCUUUUUAGGGCCUCACUAGAAGCAUAUGGAGGUUCCCAAGCUAAGAGUUGAAUUGGAGCUUCAGCCGCCAUCCUAAGCCACAGGCACAGCAAAGCCAGAUCUGAGCCAUGUCUGCGACCUACACCAUGGCUCAGGGCAAGCCAGAUCCUUAAUACACUGAGUGAGGCCAGAGACCAAACCUGCUUCCUCUUGCAUGUUAGUCAGUUUCAUUUAUGCUGAGCCAUGAUGGGAACUCCUGGAGUAACAUCUGAAGAGAUUAAAUUGCAUUCCUACAUAUUUCACUUCUUAUUUUAUGACUUUUAUGCCACUUGUGAAAAUCCCUUAGCCCUGACCCAGCUUUCAUACGUAUUCCUAAGGGUACCUGUUAAAUGCAUAGCCAUGCUUCUUAUUAAUUACCUUUAUUGGAUGUACCUUGUCUAAACUGUACAACAUAACUUGCUUGGCUCAAAGUUCUGACUCAUACCUACACCCAUACAAUUUUGCAUCUUCACUUAGAGCAAAAAUAAUUAUACGUGGGGCCAUAUUUGGCAGCAUGCUUAGAAAGGGCAUGUAGCAUACCAGCUGAGAACCAGUGGACUAGAGAAGUGGUUCUCCAAGUUCAUGGACCAAUAGCAGCAGCAGCAUCAACAGCACUUAGAACUUGUUGGACUUGCAGGUUAUCAGCCUAUCUCCCCCAUUCUACUGGAUGAGAAACUAUAGUUGGGUUUUUGCAACAGUGUUUUUUUUUCUUUGUUUGUUUGUUUUGUCUUUUGCCUUUUUAAGGCCACACCUGUGGCAUAUGGAGGUUCCCAGACUAGAGGUCUAAUCGGAGCUGUUGCUGCCAGCCUACGGCACAACCACAGCAAUGCCAGAUCCGAGCCAAGUCAGCAACCUACACCACAGCUCACAGCAACACUGGAUCCUUAACCCACUGAGUGAGGCCAGGGAUCGAACCCACAACCUCAUGAUUCCUAGUCAGAUUUGUUUAUGCUGCGCCGCAACGGGAACUCCGCAACCAACAAGCCCGCCAGAUCAUCCUGAUGCAAAAAUUUGAGAUCCGUUGUCUAAAGAGAAUUAUUACCACACAUAGACUCAAUGGAGAAGCCUAACUAAUUGUGAGAAGCAGGCAUGGAACUGGGUCCCUUUCGACUGCUAUGUGCAUUCAUCUCAGUAAAGCAUCUGGGCGUUUGGAUAGUCACACUACAGUUUGGUCUUGGGAAGUGAUUUUUAGACUCUAGCUGUGUGUCAGAUUCAGGCUUUUCAAAAACCUACAUUCCUAUGUUUCAUCCUGGGUAUUGUUAUUCAGUCUAGAGUGGGGCCCAGGAACCUGUGUUAAAUAAAGUCUCCAGGUGUGUCCACAGCUGUUGUGCCAAUUUCUGCUGAACAGCAAAUUGACCAGUCGAACAUAUAUAUAUAAUGUAUAUAUAUACAUUCCUUUUCUUAGAUUAUCACCCAUCAUGUUCUCUCCCAAGAGACUGGAUAUAGUUCCCUGUGCUGUACAAUAGGACCUUGUGGCUUGAAUGGAAUAGUUUGCAUCUGCUAACCACCACCUCUCCCUCCAUCCCACUUCCUUCCCACUCCCCCUUGGCAACCACUAUGGCUGUGGGUCCAGAUUGUUUGUCAAUCAGUGAUGUGGACCUCUGUUUCCAGGGGGCCUUAGUCUCACCAAGAGGGCUUCUGUAAACAGAGUCCUGGCCCCACUCCCCUGGGAGUCCUCUCUAGUAGGUUUUGGAUGGGACAUAGAACCUGUCUCUCUAACAGCCUCUGGGUGAUGCUGUUUCUUGCACCUCAGCUCUGGUCACACAUGAUACAAUGAUGAGUCCCAAAUACAUGGUACACUUUCCUUACAUGAGCUCACUUCUUCUGGUCCACAGCCAGUGCCUUUUCUUAGUAAAUUCUGUGUGUUUCUAGAGAGAGAUAUGUUUACAUGGGCAUACAUAUAGUACACAUGCGAAAGCUGUUUAAGUAAAAUGCUGUAGCAUUCUCUGUUGUAUACCUUGCUUUUUUCCACCUUACUGAGAUAGUCUUUCCAUUUCAGUACGUGGAAGGCUCCCUGGUUCUUUGUGUGCUGCUGUGUGGUACUCAACUGAUGACUGUCCCAUAAUCUAUUUAAACAGCUUCCAACUGAUGGGCCUAACUAAAUUUCCAGACCUGGAGUCCACAAAUAAACCAAAGAGCAGACACUCAAUGUCCCCAAAAACCUCACGUUUGAGCAAAUUGCCUCAUAUUUCCCAUUACCUCCCAAAGGCUUUCGGCCUUUUUUUGAUAAUUAUCUUUCCAUUGAUUCUAAGGAAACAAGGAGAAAGUUUGCUUUUGAUUGGUGUAAAAUGUAAACUUAAAAAAUUCCCAUUGAAGGAUUAAAUGGAGUCUGGUGGGUCAGGGAGGGUGGAGGGCAAUGCUUAUUGUAUACACCUGGGGGCCAGGCCUUCGCCUAAUGUGCUCUCAAACUCACUCGUUAGGAGGCAACGUGUGGGAGAUGCGCUCAUGUUUUUCCACAGGAGUAGCAUCUGGCUCAGAGAAGUUAAGGUUUAUAGCUAGUAAACUGUGGAACCAAAGUAUUAACUUCCUUCUUACUCCAGCACCCUGUGCUCUCCCUCUUGGUGGUCUUCAAAUCCCAGUGGCUAAGACUUCGGGGGUUCAAAUUCCAGACCCACCACUCCUCAUCUGUGAGGUCACUGCACCUUCCUCAGAAGGGUCUAGUUCCAGGCUGAGGUCAGUGAGGCACCAGGGUGUGGAAUUCCAGGAGGGGCUUCCUCUUGGAGUCAUGCACUUAUUCCCUACCAUCUUGUUCGCCUUAACCUAGUCACGCCCCCGAGCCUUAGUUUUCUUAUCUUUAAAGUGGGGAUAAAAAUUGCACCUUCCGGGAGCUCCAACUGUGGCAUAACAGGAUCAGGGGCAUCUCUGCAGCACCAGGGUACAAGUUCCAUCCCCAGCCUGGCACAGUGGGUUAAAGGAUCCUGCGUUGCCAUAGCUGCGGAGUAGGUCACAACCGUGGCUUGGAUCUUAUCCCUAGCCCAAAGAACACCAUAUGCCUUGGCGCAG